ACAUCUUGUUAAAUGGCGAUUGUGAACCAGUAGAUCUGGAGUAGGGUUUGAGAGUCUGCAUUUCUAACAAACCCAAAGGUGAUGUUAUGCUCUCAGCAAGGUUCUAGACUGCUAAAUUUCCUAUAUAGACUUAGUUGUUGCGAUGUCUUUAUUCAAAAAGAACUGCUUUGUUCUUGGUCUUAUAAUUGUAAGAUAUUUUGUUAGGUGAGUCCCAUAUAUUUUUUCUCACUUAAUCUUCACAACACCCCUGCAAGACUGUAAUACAUGUUCAUUAUGGAAAAUUCAGAUAAGCAAAAAGAAGAAAAAUAAAAGUUACGUAGAUACCAGAAAUUAAAAUAAUAUUUAUUUAUAAGUUUAAGACUCCAAGUGAAGAUUAAAGUUCUAAAAGGAACUAAAGUUAUAGCUUCGGGAGUAUUAUAUGCAUUUUCCCACCUUAAGUAAAGAAAACAAAACAUUGUGGGAGUAAUAUGACUGAAACUAAAAUGUAUUUACUUAGAAAAGACCAGAAGAAAAUGUCAGAGCAUACAGUAGUUGCAUUAGGGCAGCACUAUCAUCAUGGGCACCUUAGGCUCAGAAUUUGUCAUGUUUUAACUGUUUCUCUGUCUUUGCUCCCAUGUCAUCUUCAGUUGUUGGGUCCAACUUGCACAUCUUUUCCAUAUACCUUUAUUGUUCUUCCUGUCUUUAUCCUAGUUCACUUCAUACCUAGAUUAUUAUAGUAGCCUGUGAAGCUGGUCUCUUUUCGGCUUAAGUAUUUCCAGCCGUGGAGAGUAUACCUCAAUGAAAAUAUUGCUGUAGCAAUUUGUACCUCUUUACUCUAUAAUUUAUUUUUUAUCUUACCUUUUUUUAGUGGUGGAGUAAGAAGGUAAAGGUAAAGGGAGAUAUAGGAGCUGAUACUAUUGUGUUUCAGUACUGGUGAUCUAUUGCUAAAUAAUUAUAUAAGCUUGCAUACUGACCCAACUCUUCUAGAAGGGAGAGUGUUAACAAAACUAGGAGAGAGAUUGUAGCCAAGGUUUAAAAUGGAUAUAUUUAUGGGAGAAGCCUGCUUAGUGAAUUGUGUUUUAGGGUAGGAAUUCUGAAUGAGUAAGCAUGUCUGCUCUUUUUCUAAUAUCUGUUAAGUUUGGGGCUAUUUUAUUCCAUGUCUUUUAUCUUCCCUUUUAGAAAUCCCUCAGUUGAAUUAAGAGGAAAAAAGAUCAUUUAAAAAAAUAUCUAGACUAGCAUUGUAUGAAUGAAGACUGCAGAAAUCUGUAGAAACCCGCUAGAAAUUGGUCAGUUAGUAAGGUGUAUCCCCUUGAUAGCAAUUUCUCAUAUGGAGGAUGUAGUAGGGAGGUCAUAGCAUCUGGAGAGCUUUUUCCUAAGUGACAGUCAUCACAUUCUGAGAUGGCAUCCCACUUAUCACCUUUCUCCCUUUGAGAAUCAGUUUUAAUGAGUCAUUAUUACUAAGGGAAUGUGUUUUAUUUCUCAUGUGCAGGGGCAGAAAAUUAAUUUGGAACAGUUACCUUAAAGAAAGUGAGUUGGCAGUAACAGUGAUUAUUUCCUUCACUCCCAUGCCCAAAUCUUUCAUACUCUUUAAGGCUGAAAACUGCCACUUCCUGUAGGAAAUAUUCCCUGCUUUCCUUCUGGCCUUUCCUAUUUAAUUUGUCCCUCUUCUGAUCUUACUUGAAUCUUUUUUAUGACCCUUGUUAUUUUCUACAUUGUACUAUAAAUUAUGUGUGUGCUUAUUAAAAAAUCUAUAUUCUAUACUAGAAACUCUUCCUAGAGCAGAGUACAUGUCUAACGCCUCUUGUAUUCUCACAGUACUUAAUAGAACAUCUUGCACAUAAUAUAGAGGCUCAGCAAAUAUUUCCUGAUCAUAUUAUUAAUUGUGAAGUUUGCUAGGCAAAAGUUAAUGAACUUCAAAUGUCAUUGCUCUUCUACCCCUUUAAAAUGUCUUUUACCACAGAGAAAAAUUAGCAAAAAUUAUAAAGCUGAUAUCCAAUAACUGAAAUUAGGAAAGCAAUGUAUUGAAGAAGGAGCUAGUGUAAAUCUAGAAGUGAGUAGAGAUGUAGAUAAGCAGUGAAUUUUAUAAAACCUUGUGGGUAAUGCAAAGAGUUUGACCUUUUUCCGUACUUGAAGAGAGCCAUUUGAAGACUUUUAAGAGGGGAGUCAUUUGAUCAAAUUCGUGUUUUAAAUAAAUUAGUGUGAUACAAUGAGGAAGCUAACUGUACAGAUAGUAACACCAGAAGAUGGGAACCCAAUUAGGUUAUUGCAAGAAUCUAGGAAAGAAUAAAUCCUAAAAUCUUAGAGCAGAGGCAGUAUAGUAGGAUAAAAGAGAAUAGAUUUAAGAAAUACAGAUAAAAUUGAUAGGCUUGGUGCCUUAUUUGAUGUGAAGUAAGGCAGAUGGAAGCAUCUUGAUGAGGCUUUAGAGAUUGAAGU
rnacentral:lncRNA from 10 species